GCGUCGGCUGCUUCCGCCUCCAUGGCUGCCACUUCCAAGAUUUCAAAUUUGGCUGCUGGCUUCUGGUGUUGUCAGACUUUAGUACACAAGUUGAUGUCGCCUGGCUUCAAGAGGGCCAAAUACCAAUUGGUUAUUGCAAUCUUCACCAUCAGAAUUGGGUUCCUCGGUGUCGUCUUCUUCCGCCUUCAUGGCUGCCGCUUCCAAGAUUUCAAAUUUGGCUGCCUGGUUUGUGGUGUUGUAGUACACAAGUUACUUCCUUUAAAUGGCCAAGUAUCAAUUGUUUGUUGCAAUCUUCAUCCAAAGCUGUUUUCUACUGCUUCCACGUUCAGUCUCUCGUCCAAAGGAAACUCAUCAUGGCCGCCGAAAAUCCAAUCCGAAUUGGCAUAAUGGGCUGCGCAGAAAUAGCGCGAAAGGUCUCUCGCGCCAUCACUUUGGCGCCCAAUGCCACGCUCGCAGCCGUCGCCAGCCGCUCCGUAGAAAAAGCCACGGCCUUCGCGCGAGCCAACUGCUUCCCGGCUGAAGCCAAGAUCUACGGCUCCUACGAGGCCCUCCUCGAAGAUCCCAAUAUCGACGCCAUAUACUGCCCCCUCCCCACGAGUCUCCACGUGCGGUGGGCCGUGGCGAUCGCUCAGAAGGGUAAGCAUUUGUUGCUCGAGAAGCCGGUUGCGCUCAACGUCGCGGACUUCGACACGAUUCUCGAGGCAUGCGACGCUAAUGGCGUCCAGAUUAUGGACGGUACCAUGUGGGUGCAUCAUCCCCGGACGCAGAAGAUGAUGGAGUUCCUCUCUGAUUCAGAGCGGUUUGGCCAGCUCAAGACGAUGCAUAGCUACUUAACGUUUUGUGCUGAUCCGGAUUUUCUCAAGAAUGACGUUCGUGUCAAGCCAGAUCUCGAUGGGCUUGGUGCUCUUGGGGAUGCUGGAUGGUACUGCAUCAGAUCAAUCCUAUUUGCAGCUAACUACGAACUACCUAAAACUGUUGUUGCCUUGCGGGAGCCUAUUUUUAAUGAUGCUGGCGUGGUUAUAUCUUGUGGGGCAUCUCUACGUUGGGAAGAUGGGAAAGUAGCAACCUUCCAUUGCUCCUUUUUGGGAAACUUGACAACGGAUGUUACUGCAAUAGGGACCAAAGGAACUCUUCAUAUCCAUGAUUUCAUCAUUCCUUUUCAGGAGCAGGAGGCCAGUUUUCAGACAAAUACAAAAGCUGGUUUUAAUGAGCUAGCGACCGGAUGGGUAUCAGUUCAAAGCGAGUGCACUGUUCCCACGGAUAUCCCCCAAGAAGGUUGUAUGGUGAGAGAGUUUGCUCGCCGAGUUGGAGAGAUCAAAAGAAAUGGUGCAAAGCCUGACAAAAAGUGGCCAACAAUUAGUAGGAAGACGCAACAAGUGAUUGAUGCAGUCAUGGCGUCAAUUCAGCACGGAUUUCAGCCUGUUGAAAUCGUGAAUUAAUCGAUACUUUUGUAUGGUGAAAGUAAGCAUUUGCAUUCUAAAUAAAGAAGAUAAACAUAUGUCUUUCUGAUUCCCACUAUAUGUAAGUAUAUAUCAUGUAAGAUUGUGACUUACUACAUUCACACGAAUAUCAGGUGUCCUUAUACUUUCUCUCUCAGAUUUACACUAUUUCGCUCUAUCUCCAGUCUUAUCUUGCGUUUGCAGUCGCCGUCGGAGUUCCAGAGUCUUCGUCUCUUUCCGUCGGUGAUCAUCUGCAAUGAUUUAUAUUUGGCAACACCGGCAGUCAGCUAGUAAAGAAAUAUUGUAGGUGAUGAUGCUAUUAGAUUGAAAUUAGGCCUUACAAAUUUUACAAUUUUUUUUUCUUUUUCUGGUAAAGAACAUCGAGUUCUAAUGACAUAUUUACGAACCUUUUAAAAUUUUAAAUUACAUAUCAUGAUAUCGAGUUUUGAUGCUUGAUUAUCCAGUUGUGCUGAUUUCUUCUCUUCCAUGUCAUUAACUUAUGCUCUGCUCUAUACUAGGGUUCGUUGAGUGCUUUGUUUUUUUUUUUAUGUUAUUUAAUCAAUUAAACAAUAUAUCAACCAAGUCUCGGCACAAGAAAACAGUCGGUUGAUGUUGUGAAAGCACCUCGAAGUUCAUUUACAUAUCCAGCUCUGCCCUCCGAGCUGCCGCCAUUAACGGAUCCGUGGAGCUUACAGAGUAACGUCGUGAAAAAUCUGAAGCCUUGCGACACGAAGGCGCACAAUCCUACUGCGCACCCGACCGUACUCGUUUUCAUUUCUUCUCCAUGCUGCGCGCAGAGAUUCAGAGAAUGAGUAUGCUGGAAGAGGACGGAUAUGCUUGACUUAUCCAAUUUCGUUGGGGUGCCACGUGGCAGAUUUUCAAAGCACGAGCUGGCAUCUUCUCGAAGAAAGUCUUUACCUGAUGCCGCCACGUGGCUGCCAUGUUGAGUGAAUGUAGAUAAGUUUCUAAAGUCUCC